rnacentral:tRNA from 1 species
GGAGAGGUGGCCGAGCUGGUUUAAGGCGUGCGCCUGCUAAGCGUAUGUAGGGGAAACCUUACCGAGGGUUCGAAUCCCUCCUUCUCCGCCA